rnacentral:rRNA from 1 species
AACCAGAAGGCGCAAUGAAAGUGAAGGCACGGUCGCCGUGCUGAGGUGAGAGCUGUCCCUGGCAGCACAUCAUCGACCGAUCCCAUCCGCUCCCCCGUGGUGCGGCGGGAUUCGAGUAAGAGUGUACCUGUUGCGACCCGAAAGAUGGUGAACUAUGCCUGAAUAGGGUGAAGCCAGAGGAAACUCUGGUGGAGGCCCGUAGCGAUUCUGACGUGCAAAUCGAUCGUCAAAUUUGGGUAUAGGGGCGAAAGACUAAUCGAACCAUCUAGUAGCUGGUUCCCUCCGAAGUUUCCCUCAGGAUAGCUGUAGCCCGAAGCAGUUUUAUCAGGUAAAGCGAAUGAUUAGAGGUAUCGGGGAAGAAACUUCCUCGACCUAUUCUCAAACUUUAAAUAGGUAAGAAGCCCGACUUGCUCAAUUUGAAGCCGGACGCAGAAUGCUGGGUUACUAGUGGGCCAUUUUUGGUAAGCAGAACUGGCGAUGCGGGAUGAACCGAACGCUGAGUUAAGGUGCCAAAGUCGACGCUCAUCAGAUCCCACAAA